rnacentral:lncRNA from 1 species
UUAAUUAGAUAAUCCGUAAUUUAAAUCGAAACAUAUGAAUUUUAUUACGGUAAGAGCCUAGGUGCAUCAUCAUAAAGUCACCUUUGGGUCGACAAUACAACAUGCUAUAAGGUACUCUUAAAACACAUCAUGCAGCCAGUUAACAAAAUUACACUGAUUUUCGAAACACCAACACCUUUAGGCAGAAGGAAAUUUCUAAACCAAAAUAAGCUCGUUA